UAUAAGUGAUGGCGACCGGCGCACGGGUGAGUAACACGUAUCCAACCUGCCGAUAACUCGGGGAUAGCCUUUCGAAAGAAAGAUUAAUACCCGAUGGUAUAAUAAAACCGCAUGGUUUAAUUAUUAAAGAAUUUCGGUUAUCGAUGGGGAUGCGUUCCAUUAGGCAGUUGGUGAGGUGACGGCUCACCAAACCUUCGAUGGAUAGGGGUUCUGAGAGGAAGGUCCCCCACAUUGGAACUGAGACACGGUCCAA
rnacentral:rRNA from 1 species